ACUUAAAUUGAAGAGUUUGAUCAUGGCUCAGAUUGAACGCUGGCGGCAGGCCUAACACAUGCAAGUCGGACGGUAGCACAGAGAGCUUGCUCUUGGGUGACGAGUGGCGGACGGGUGAGUAAUGUCUGGGGAUCUGCCCGAUAGAGGGGGAUAACCACUGGAAACGGUGGCUAAUACCGCAUAACGUCGCAAGACCAAAGAGGGGGACCUUCGGGCCUCUC
rnacentral:rRNA from 1 species